rnacentral:rRNA from 1 species
AUGUCUAAAGCUUGCCCUAGGUUCAAUGUGCCAUCUAGGACCACUAUGUAUAGAGAUAUCAUUGCUCUUUAUGAAACUGAGAAAGCUAUGCUUAGAAAAUAUUUCAUUGAUUCACUCGAUUCUUCGUGGAACCUUAGGAAAAAAAUUAUUAGCUUUGUCUUGGUAGAUGGACACAAAGGGGACGAUAUUGGGAAAUCGUUAGAAAAAUUACUGAUUGAGUGGGGCAUUGAACGAGUGUGCACUAUUACAGUAGAUAAUGCUAGUUCUAAUGACACCUGCUUAGCCUACAUGAAGAGAUCUUUGACUAAUAGGGGCUGCACACAUGCAAGAAGUCAAUAUCUUCACAUGAGGUGUGUGGCUCACAUUGUUAAUCUUGUGGUUCAAGAUGGGCUAAAGAUAAUGUGCCAUCCUGUAAACAGAAUUCGCCAUGCUAUCAAGUUUGUUAGAGCCUCCCCAACUAGACUGGAUGUAUUUAAGAAGUGUGUGCAGCUAAGCAAGGUAGCGAGCAAAGGUUUGAUUAAUAUUGAUGUGGCUACUAGAUGGAACUCUACAUUUGUAAUGCUAGACAAUGUUGAGAAAUUUGAGAGGGCAUUUGAGCAAUAUGCACUUCAUGAUCCCAACUACAAGACCGAGUUAGAAAAAACUGGUCCAGAACCUAAGCCCGAUGCUCUUGACCAACGGGGUCCUCCAACUCAAAGUGAUUGGGUAUAUGUUCGUGAGUUCAAACAAUUCCUCCAACACUUCUAUGACCUCACGAAUAAGGUUUCUGGCACCAAGUAUGUUACAGCCAACACCUUCUUGGAAGAGAUUGCUGAUGUUAACUUUUUGUUGGGUGAAUGGAGUGAUCAUGUGAUCUGUGGUGAUGAUGAAAUAUUUAAAUGCAUGGCUCUCAAGAUGAAAGCGAAGUAUGAGAAGUAUUGGGGUGAUCCUGAAAAGAUGAACAAAUAUAUAUUCAUUGCCGCCAUCCUUGAUCCUAGGACCAAGGAAUCUCAUUUCUUUAAGGACAUGAUUGAAGACACCUAUGGCUGUAUAAUAGGUAACAGAAUCUUGACUUCUUCACACAACGAAUUUGUCUCUCUUUUUGGAGAAUACAAAGAAUUGUAUGGAACCAGUUCUACUAGUGAAUUAGCAUCACAAGCUCGUGCUAGUGAAAAUGCUUCUGAAAAUUCUCUUAUGAGGUCACGCUACAACAAGAAGAGAAUGAGAUCUUGUGGAGAGGGUAGCACUAGCUCAAAUAUGAGAACUGAAUUAGACAAGUACCUAGCUGAGGAUACCGAAGAGUUGACUGCAGAAUUUGACCUUCUUGAGUGGUGGAAGUUGAAUGCUGCUCGCUUUCCUGUCCUGUCAAAAAUGGCUCGUGAUAUACUAGCAAUCCCCAUCUCAACGGUUGCUUCUGAAUCAGCUUUUAGCACUAGUGGACGUAUUCUUGAUGACUUCAGAAGCUCUUUGACACCAGCGACACUCCAGGCGUUGAUAUGUACGCAAGAUUGGUUGCGUAGUAAGCCUAUCAAUGUUGAACUUGAUCUUGCUGAGUUGACCAAACUGGAGGAAGGUGUGGGAGCCCUUCGAUUGGAUGAUAAUGGUGUAAUAUCGAUUGAUUGA